UGAUGGACACAUGAACAUCGACAUUUCGAACGCACAUUGCGGUCCAUGGAUUCCGUUCCCGGACCACGCCUGGCUGAGGGUCGGUAGCUAAAACUGAAAUGCAUUCUUUGAAUGGAUAUUGGGAGCUUCGCGGUAUGUGCGGUUUCGGCUGCCUCUGCGUCUCCUUAAAUGAGCUCCGCGAGGAGCUGGACUUGUCACGAAGAAAACGGCGGUGUCUCGUCACGGCAGUUGAUUUCGGUGGUCCGCGCAGCGUCUCUGUAUGCUCGCGCCGGUUGCCCCGGUUCUUCUGCUUGGCGUGUCCCACCGUAGUGACAUGACAUUUUUUCCUAUCACGACCUCAGAUCAGGCGAGACUACCCGCUGAAUUUAAGCAUAUCAAUAAGCGGAGGAA
rnacentral:rRNA from 1 species